rnacentral:rRNA from 1 species
UGACAGUACUCCUACGGGAGGCAGCAGUGGGAAUAUUGCACAAUGGGCGCAAGCCUGAUGCAGCCAUGCCGCGUGUGUGAAGAAGGCCUUCGGGUUGUAAAGCACUUUCAGUCGUGAGGAAGGUAGUGUAGUUAAUAGCUGCAUUAUUUGACGUUAGCGACAGAAGAAGCACCGGCUAACUCCGUGCCAGCAGCCGCGGUAAUACGGAGGGUGCGAGCGUUAAUCGGAAUUACUGGGCGUAAAAGCGCAUGCAGGUGGUUUGUUAAGUCAGAUGUGAAAAGCCCGGGCUCAAACCUCGGAAAUAGCAUUUGAAAACUGGCAGACUAGAGUACUGUAGAGGGGGUAGAAUUUCAGGUGUAGCGGUGAAAAUGCGUAGAGAUCUGAAGGAAUACCAGUGGCGAAGGCGGCCCCUGGACAAAGACUGACGCUCAGAUGCGAAAGCGUGGGGAGCAAACAGGAUUAGAUACCCUGGUAG